rnacentral:misc_RNA from 1 species
GCUGUAUCUCAGGCCCGUGCUGGUGCUGAUGUUGUCAGUCCGAGCGACAUGAUGGAUGGCCGAGUUGGAGCAAUUAGAGCAGCUCUUGAUGCCGAAGGGUUUGAUGAUGUCUCUAUAAUGUCAUACACGGCAAAGUAUGCCAGCUCAUUUUAUGGUCCAUUCAGAGAAGCUUUAGAUUCGAAUCCGCGCUUUGGAGACAAAAAGACUUACCAGAUGAACCCAACAAAUUAUAGAGAAGCCCUUAUUGAAACUAAAGAAGAUGAAGAUGAAGGAGCUGACAUUCUUUUGGUUAAACCAGCAAUGCCCUAUCUGGAUGUUAUUCGUCUUCUUCGAGAUAAUUCUGCACUUCCCAUAGCUGCAUAUCAGGUUUCUGGUGAGUACUCCAUGAUCAAAGCUGGCGGUGUUCUGAAAAUGAUAGACGAAGAGAAGGUCAUGAUGGAGUCCCUGUACUCCAUCAGACGCGCCGGUGCAGACAUCAUCCUCUCAUAUUUCGCUCGCCAAGCUGCCACCCGUUUGUGUGGAAUGAGGUGAAGUCGAGCACUGUCUACCAGUCCUAUUGCAAUCUUAAUCAAGAGAAUGAGGUGAAGUCGAGCACUGUCUACCAGUCCUAUUGCAAUCUUAAUCAAGA